GGGGGUGGAGGUUAACCGGGGGGAAGGAAAUCAAAAGUGCUCGGAAGGAAAACGUUUUGCAUCUCGCUGGAGUGGGGGAAAUCGUAAUAGUGGUGUCAGUGGCAUUAGGUGCCGAAAUAUUUCUCGGUAGAAAGAAAGGAAGUGAACUGAGGGUGGGGUCCUAUAAUCCAUGCCAAGUUCGUCCUGCAUGAUUGCGAGUUGGAUGGAGUCUCAACCAGGUGAUGGAUUAGGGAAUUCCUCACAGCUUUGUAUCAUGAACAAACUACGCGAAAAAAACUUGAAGUGUUUUAGCCGCGGCUUAUUGCAAACUUUUGACCAACACUCGCAGCGUUGAGUCAACCGCCUAUUCAUCACCGGAGAUGUGUGAGUAGAUUUCUAAAAAUAUGAAAAGGCACACAACCAACGUUGCCUCUUCUUCCCUUCACUCGUCCGGCAAACGAGGUUGGCUGCUACUUAUUUCCGCGAGCCUGACAGAGUCCAUUAGUCUUUGGGUGGGAAGGCUUUGAGUUACAGUGUCUAGGGGGUACGAAUCCUUUUUGGCACAGGCAGCAAGAGCAGCGUUACUGUUACACAAUAGGCCAGACCGCAAAGGAGGAGGAGCAGGAAAGAGAGGGAGUUACCCUUGGACUACGAGUCUUAGAAGUGUGGGAAAGAUGAAAUGCCUCACUUGGCCAGUCAGCUCCAAUACUAACAGAUGCCAAAAGGAAGACCUGCUUCCAAACGUUCCAUUCCCAGCCAGUUAUUUCUGCAUCACACCUCUGUCUGUACGAGUCCAUCCAAGGUAGAGUAACUCGAAAUCGACUGUGGCCAACCGGCGGACUCGCUUCCUCUGCCCUGUCCUUCGAGAUGUUGGGACUUUACCUGGCCACCGCUCGCACUGCUGCUCAUGGGACUCGCAGACCAUUUCCCGGUCGAUCCCAUAAAUCAUUUCCCAGGUACACUCUUGAGAGAGGAAGAACGGGUCGAAAGGUCCGUUCCCACAGCUCACAAACCUCCGCACAUUGACGGAAAUCUAGAGAACGCUGGCGGUGGCCACACACCUUACUUUUCGCUUCUCAAAAAGUAGCUUGCCGGAAUGCAAAGUAUUGUUCCUUGAAAGUAGCCAUUUUGGAAAUGUUUAGAAUCAAAACCCUAAUCGAGAGGAAUCAAUAAGCGGACUGACCAAUGAUUCCAAAGAUUCGAAUGACUUGGACCCAGUCCUCAAAAGAACUGGAUUUCAAUCUCCAUCCCGAUCUGCAUUGUUAUUGAGUCACGUUUUCCCUCGGCGGGUCAUUACGACAGUGAAACCGAAAUUGUUUUAAUCAUCUCUUCGCACAACUUGUGCACAACUAAUUGAUGGAUUACAAAUCACUCAAGUCAACUAUUUGUUCAAUUAGGUUGAAAGUUUUUUGGGGUUUUUUUUUUCGAGACAACGGUCUUUUUAGGGGAAGUUUCUCUUCAACUCUUACCUGGCUGACAGUUUCGGCUGUCACUUCAGCCUUCAUCGGAGCUGUCAGCGCUUCCUUGCGACGUGCCUUAAAAACAGCUAUUUGUCGUCUGUUCCAUUGUUGUUGAAAUGAUUGCAAAAUCGCAACGUCAUUUCUUAUAGGUGACAAUUUGGCAUUUCAGUACAGAUUUUAACGAUGUAAGUUGACACGCAUGAUUUUCUGUCGCGGGCCGCAUAAAACCAUGUGGUGGGCCGGAUCUGGCCCCCGGGCCUUGACUUUGACACGUGCUGUAUACUGUGCCUGAGCAACAGACAGACGUGAAAGCAAUACAUUGAUGGGUCAUGUUCCUCAUUAUUUUGAGUUUAGCAUCGGAUGACAGAUCAAUGCGAAAAAGGAAAAGGGAACAUUUUAGCCUUUCUGAGUCACUCGUUUAUAAAAGGUGACAGAAUAGCGGAUCCAUUUUCCAUCGCUGUCCUCAAUUCUUCCCAGCUGAAGCAGCGGUUAUGGCUCAUUUACCGCGUUUGGUCUGUCCUCAGCACUGGACACUUUGGCCCAGUAUUCUGGCCCCGGGAGCGUAAGCCACUCAAUGUUUUACUUGGAAGUGUCAACGGGUCCGGCGAGCGUUGGCAUCCGUGUGAAGUGGUGUGCUAACUUAGUAAAAGUUGGACGGCCGGCCCGAAGGUGACACGUGUGGUUCUUUCAAGUGCCCGACCGGGCACAGAGGCUGCAUCCCAUCCGAAUGUCAGGAGAGCUGUAAUUACGCAGAGUUCUGUUUAAAUAUUUGCUCAUAUUUAUUGAUGUUGAUUGACACGUGGAAUUACGGCUCUUUUCGUCAGCACCGGUGAAUUAAAUCUAGCUUCCAUCUGCCCCCUGCCCCUUUUUUUGCAAGCAAAGACAGCCGCGCACAUUCCUGUAUUGUCCUUCUCCAGAAAAUGUUUGCUCACUACUUAUCGUUGACAUCAGUCAGCUGCUUGGAAACUCGAUUCAGCCACACAAAUACUGCACACGACGUCUGUCAGCGAUCGACAUUGCGUCUUGAGUUUACUCGGAACGCCUCUGCUUUGCGUCUCUGGGUGUACAGAUUCACUUUGAAGCGCAACGAUUUUUCGGCGCCAUAUUUGUAGAAUAUACAGUUAAACAACAUAUCUUCCAAGUGCGCAAUAAAGCUAUUAUUUAGAAUAUAAACACUCUGCUAAAUCGGCCCCCGCAGGUGUUGAACUGGGCCCUCGUAAAACUGGAGGCCGGGAUUUUAAUUUCCCCCACAUGGACUCAAAUUUUAGUGGGUCAUUCCAUCGUAGGUUUCUCGGUGGGAGGUCACAACGUCCAACGUUGUGGUCUUAAUGACGCAUACAAAAAGCAAAGUCGCGGAGGGAGCGGGUGGGGCGUGAAAUAUUAGGAACGUUCAAUGAAAUCUAUACAGCGAGGGCAGACCGCAGUGUACCACAUUACCGAAAGAAUGAGCAUCAGGGCAUGACUAAAUACAACAUUGGAGAUCUGGCUCCACUCACACUCUGUCAAACUUAUUUUUGUUGCGGGCCACAUUGUAGUUCCCUUGGAGAGGGCCGUUAUGAAUUUUGGGAAACCAUAUCACUGUUUAUUAAUCACCUACACAUAUUACAUACACAGCGCACAACAAAUGGAUGGUUAACUAGUUUUAAAAUCAGACCUCAAACCUCAAGUCUGUUAUUGUGGAUGACAUAUGACUAUUUGAAAUUUGGGUUUAGGCUUUAGCAAGCAUCAUGGAACUUGACAUGUUUGAUUUGCUUUUGCGGGCCCCAUAAAAUGAUGUGGACGGCCAGAUCUGGCCCCCGGGCCUCGGCUUUGACACUUGUUCUGUAGAGUGUCCCAAUGUAUGUUCUGCAGAUGUUGCUAAAUCCUCUUUUGUAUCUAUUAAAACACAUUCAGUGUGUAUCAUUAACUCAUUCACUCCCAAAGACGUUUUUAAACGUCUUUUCAGACUUGAUCUAGAAUUGGCCCGUACUGAAUGAGUUAAAAGAAAAAAAAAUCAAAGCGUCUACAGUAUGUGCAGAACAAAAAAAUGAAUUUGAAGAUUGAUGAUCAUUGACAGUUUUCUACAUGGUGAUUUUUUUUUUCUUCUCAAGACUGUUUCUCAUGUGUGUACAAAAUGUCGAAUCCCAGAGCCCGGGCGGGAUACAGGUCAUGCCGACUUAAGUUUCAAUGUAGAAUAAUGAAGAGCAGUGCGGUUUCGAGCCAGAUGCGGUGCCAUGGCAACCCCGCAUCAGGACCAGCCUGGACAGAAAGACUUGACUGAUUGACAAAUCAAUGUUUUGCCACUCUCAUAACAAUCACUACCUACUGACUACAAUAAGUAACUAGCGGUUUGGACAUAGUAAUGUUUUUGAUUACUCUUUACUGAUGUGUUUAUAAAAAAAAAAGGGGCGGGGGGAGGGGGAACAUUAUUUUCUCAAGAUGGCCAAUAAUAGCACUCGAUGUACUUUUCUCUCACGCGAUGAUCAGCUUCCAACUCCGCCAAGUCAUCAAUCAGGAAAGUUAAUGCAGCCCCCAACCCCCCCACCCUCUCAUCCCGAUUAUCGAUGGGAUGUGUUUUUUAUUGGGGGGGUGGGUGCAGCGGGUUCGAUUCAGCUGCGACCAUAAUCGUCUCAGUGGUCAGCAGUUAAAGUGCCGUGAAGGGCCUGUUGGCUUUCCAGCGGGGAGGAAUCAACUUGUUUAACUUGGCUCUCCCCACCAGAACGGAUUGACAUUGCAGUUCAAUUCUGUGGGCUUGCAGACCAGUUUUUUUUUUUUUAUUGUCACUGCGAGUAACGAGCAAAAUAGCAACGUCUUGAUACCAGACUCUACUUUUCCAUAUUAACGAAAUCGAUGAAAUUUUUACUUUUAGCUCCCGUUUGGAAAAGGCCUCGACACCACAGAACAAUUACGAUAAACUCUGUUGGCAAAAAUCUACAAAGUUGUGUGACUUUGUUGCCGCGUCUUGAUUUUUAUCUCACGCCUGGAAGCUUCACAGGACACCUUUUAGUGGCUUUGG